rnacentral:rRNA from 1 species
UACGUAGGGUGCAAGCGUUGUCCGGAAUUAUUGGGCGUAAAGGGCUCGUAGGUGGCGCCGUAAGUCGGGUGUGAAAUUUCGGAGCUUAACUCCGAAACUGCAUUCGAUACUGCGGUGCUUGAGGACUGGAGAGGAGACUGGAAUUCAUGGUGUAGCAGUGAAAUGCGUAGAGAUCGUAAGGAAGACCAGUGGCGAAGGCGGGUCUCUGGACAGUUCCUGACACUGAGGCACGAAGGCCAGGGGAGCAAACGGG